rnacentral:misc_RNA from 1 species
GAUGAAGAACGUAGCGAAAUGCGAUAAGUAAUGUGAAUUGCAGAAUUCAGUGAAUCAUCGAAUCUUUGAACGCACAUUGCGCCCGCCAGCACUCUGGCGGGCAUGCCUGUUCGAGCGUCAUUUCAACCAUCAAGCCCCCAGGGGCUUGUGCUGGGGCCCUGCGGCUGCCCGCAGGCCCUGAAAACCAGUGGCGGGCUCGCUAGUCACACCGAGCGCAGUAGCACAUCUCGCUCAGGGCGUGCGGCGGGCUCCUGCCGUGAAACCCCCCACUGUAACCCCAAAGGUUGACCUCGGAUCAGGUAGGAAUACCCGCUGAACUUAAGCAUAUCAAAAGCGGAGGA